rnacentral:rRNA from 1 species
AUUGAACGCUGGCGGCAUGCUUUACACAUGCAAGUCAGACGGCAGCACAGAGAAGCUUGCUUCUUGGGUGGCGAGUGGCGAACGGGUGAGUAACAUAUCGGAACGUACCGAGUAAUGGGGGAUAACUAAUCGAAAGAUUAGCUAAUACCGCAUAUUCUCUGAGGAGGAAAGCAGGGGACCUUUUGGCCUUGCGUUAUUCGAGCGGCCGAUAUCUGAUUAGCUAGUUGGUGGGGUAAAGGCCUACCAAGGCGACGAUCAGUAGCGGGUCUGAGAGGAUGAUCCGCCACACUGGGACUGAGACACGGCCCAGACUCCUACGGGAGGCAGCAGUGGGGAAUUUUGGACAAUGGGCGCAAGCCUGAUCCAGCCAUGCCGCGUGUCUGAAGAAGGCCUUCGGGUUGUAAAGGACUUUUGUCAGGGAAGAAAAGGCUGUUGCUAAUAUCGACAGCUGAUGACGGUACCUGAAGAAUAAGCACCGGCUAACUACGUGCCAGCAGCCGCGGUAAUACGUAGGGUGCGAGCGUUAAUCGGAAUUACUGGGCGUAAAGCGAGCGCAGACGGUUACUUAAGCAGGAUGUGAAAUCCCCGGGCUCAACCUGGGAACUGCGUUCUGAACUGGGUGACUAGAGUGUGUCAGAGGGAGGUAGAAUUCCACGUGUAGCAGUGAAAUGCGUAGAGAUGUGGAGGAAUACCGAUGGCGAAGGCAGCCUCCUGGGAUAACACUGACGUUCAUGCUCGAAAGCGUGGGUAGCAAACAGG